rnacentral:lncRNA from 1 species
UUGGGUGUUCAUGUACAUUUUGUAUAUAUUUAUUUUUCUCAACUAAAUGACUUUUUUGGUGAUUUUUAAUGAUAAUAUAUGAGUAGUCCAAAUAAUUAUUACGUUGGCAAGGCUUUUUUUUAAUUUUAUUCUGGGACACCUUCCUAUGACCGCAAGGCUAUGUUAAUUUUUUUCUGGGUCGUAGGAAGGCGUCCCAGAAAAAAAAAAAUAUCCUUGCCAGACGUCAUAAUUAUUUGGACUAAUACAUGAGAUAUU